rnacentral:tRNA from 1 species
GGGGAUGUGGCUUAGUGGUAGAGUGCUUGCCUAACAUGCAUGAAGCCCUGGGUUCGAUUCCUCAGUACCA